GGUUAAGCGACUAAGCGUACACGGUGGAUGCCCUGGCAGUCAGAGGCGAUGAAGGACGUGCUAAUCUGCGAUAAGCGUCGGUAAGGUGAUAUGAACCGUUAUAACCGGCGAUUUCCGAAUGGGGAAACCCAGUGUGUUUCGACACACUAUCAUUAACUGAAUCCAUAGGUUAAUGAGGCGAACCGGGGGAACUGAAACAUCUAAGUACCCCGAGGAAAAGAAAUCAACCGAGAUUCCCCCAGUAGCGGCGAGCGAACGGGGAGCAGCCCAGAGCCUGAAUCAGUGUGUGUGUUAGUGGAAGCGUCUGGAAAGGCGUGCGAUACAGGGUGACAGCCCCGUACACAAAAAUGCACAUGCUGUGAGCUCGAUGAGUAGGGCGGGACACGUGGUAUCCUGUCUGAAUAUGGGGGGACCAUCCUCCAAGGCUAAAUACUCCUGACUGACCGAUAGUGAACCAGUACCGUGAGGGAAAGGCGAAAAGAACCCCGGCGAGGGGAGUGAAAAAGAACCUGAAACCGUGUACGUACAAGCAGUGGGAGCACAGAGCAAUCUGUGUGACUGCGUACCUUUUGUAUAAUGGGUCAGCGACUUAUAUUCUGUAGCAAGGUUAACCGAAUAGGGGAGCCGAAGGGAAACCGAGUCUUAACUGGGCGUUAAGUUGCAGGGUAUAGACCCGAAACCCGGUGAUCUAGCCAUGGGCAGGUUGAAGGUUGGGUAACACUAACUGGAGGACCGAACCGACUAAUGUUGAAAAAUUAGCGGAUGACUUGUGGCUGGGGGUGAAAGGCCAAUCAAACCGGGAGAUAGCUGGUUCUCCCCGAAAGCUAUUUAGGUAGCGCCUCGUGAAUUCAUCUCCGGGGGUAGAGCACUGUUUCGGCAAGGGGGUCAUCCCGACUUACCAACCCGAUGCAAACUGCGAAUACCGGAGAAUGUUAUCACGGGAGACACACGGCGGGUGCUAACGUCCGUCGUGAAGAGGGAAACAACCCAGACCGCCAGCUAAGGUCCCAAAGUCAUGGUUAAGUGGGAAACGAUGUGGGAAGGCCCAGACAGCCAGGAUGUUGGCUUAGAAGCAGCCAUCAUUUAAAGAAAGCGUAAUAGCUCACUGGUCGAGUCGGCCUGCGCGGAAGAUGUAACGGGGCUAAACCAUGCACCGAAGCUGCGGCAGCGACGCUGAUGCGUUGUUGGGUAGGGGAGCGUUCUGUAAGCCUGCGAAGGUGUGCUGUGAGGCAUGCUGGAGGUAUCAGAAGUGCGAAUGCUGACAUAAGUAACGAUAAAGCGGGUGAAAAGCCCGCUCGCCGGAAGACCAAGGGUUCCUGUCCAACGUUAAUCGGGGCAGGGUGAGUCGACCCCUAAGGCGAGGCCGAAAGGCGUAGUCGAUGGGAAACAGGUUAAUAUUCCUGUACUUGGUGUUACUGCGAAGGGGGGACGGAGAAGGCUAUGUUGGCCGGGCGACGGUUGUCCCGGUUUAAGCGUGUAGGCUGGUUUUCCAGGCAAAUCCGGAAAAUCAAGGCUGAGGCGUGAUGACGAGGCACUACGGUGCUGAAGCAACAAAUGCCCUGCUUCCAGGAAAAGCCUCUAAGCAUCAGGUAACAUCAAAUCGUACCCCAAACCGACACAGGUGGUCAGGUAGAGAAUACCAAGGCGCUUGAGAGAACUCGGGUGAAGGAACUAGGCAAAAUGGUGCCGUAACUUCGGGAGAAGGCACGCUGAUAUGUAGGUGAAGUCCCUCGCGGAUGGAGCUGAAAUCAGUCGAAGAUACCAGCUGGCUGCAACUGUUUAUUAAAAACACAGCACUGUGCAAACACGAAAGUGGACGUAUACGGUGUGACGCCUGCCCGGUGCCGGAAGGUUAAUUGAUGGGGUUAGCGCAAGCGAAGCUCUUGAUCGAAGCCCCGGUAAACGGCGGCCGUAACUAUAACGGUCCUAAGGUAGCGAAAUUCCUUGUCGGGUAAGUUCCGACCUGCACGAAUGGCGUAAUGAUGGCCAGGCUGUCUCCACCCGAGACUCAGUGAAAUUGAACUCGCUGUGAAGAUGCAGUGUACCCGCGGCAAGACGGAAAGACCCCGUGAACCUUUACUAUAGCUUGACACUGAACAUUGAGCCUUGAUGUGUAGGAUAGGUGGGAGGCUUUGAAGUGUGGACGCCAGUCUGCAUGGAGCCGACCUUGAAAUACCACCCUUUAAUGUUUGAUGUUCUAACGUUGACCCGUGAUCCGGGUUGCGGACAGUGUCUGGUGGGUAGUUUGACUGGGGCGGUCUCCUCCUAAAGAGUAACGGAGGAGCACGAAGGUUGGCUAAUCCUGGUCGGACAUCAGGAGGUUAGUGCAAUGGCAUAAGCCAGCUUGACUGCGAGCGUGACGGCGCGAGCAGGUGCGAAAGCAGGUCAUAGUGAUCCGGUGGUUCUGAAUGGAAGGGCCAUCGCUCAACGGAUAAAAGGUACUCCGGGGAUAACAGGCUGAUACCGCCCAAGAGUUCAUAUCGACGGCGGUGUUUGGCACCUCGAUGUCGGCUCAUCACAUCCUGGGGCUGAAGUAGGUCCCAAGGGUAUGGCUGUUCGCCAUUUAAAGUGGUACGCGAGCUGGGUUUAGAACGUCGUGAGACAGUUCGGUCCCUAUCUGCCGUGGGCGCUGGAGAACUGAGGGGGGCUGCUCCUAGUACGAGAGGACCGGAGUGGACGCAUCACUGGUGUUCGGGUUGUCAUGCCAAUGGCACUGCCCGGUAGCUAAAUGCGGAAGAGAUAAGUGCUGAAAGCAUCUAAGCACGAAACUUGCCCCGAGAUGAGUUCUCCCUGACUCCUUGAGAGUCCUGAAGGAACGUUGAAGACGACGACGUUGAUAGGCCGGGUGUGUAAGCGCAGCGAUGCGUUGAGCUAACCGGUACUAAUGAACCGUGAGGCUUAACCUU
rnacentral:rRNA from 1 species